GAUUGUCUGGUGCCAGCAGCCGCGGUAAUUCCAGCUCCAAUAGAGUAUAUUAACGUUGUUGCAGUUGAAAAGUUCGUAGUCCCAUUUCUUGUAAGAGCGGCCUGGCCUUUCACGAAUGUGAUUGUUUAGCUGUGUGCUGUCUUUGGCAAUCCUCUUUUGCUUUUCGGAGCAGAAGUCAUUUACUGUAAAAAAAUUAGAGUGUUCAAAGCAAAACGUAUGUUUGGAAUAUAAUAGUAUGGAAUAAUAAGAUAGGAUGGCUAUGCUAUUUUGUUGGUUUGUACAUGGUCAUAAUGAUGAAUAGGGACAAUUGGGAGUAUUCGUAUUUAGUUGUCAGAGGUGAAAUUCUUGGAUUUACAAAAGACGAACGACUGCGAAGGCAUUUACUAAAGAUGUUUUCAUUGAUCAAGAACGAAAGUUGGG
rnacentral:rRNA from 1 species